UACUCAAGAAAAGGAUUUAAGUCCAGCCUAAAGUCUUCUUAGUUUUUCAAAAACACAACUAUGACUUUAGAGUAAUUCAAAUAAGGUACAGCCUAUUUGAAAAAGGAUACAACCUAGACUAACGGGUAAUAAUUUAAUUUUAUAACUAAGUGGGCCUAAGAGCAGCCACCUUUAAAAUAGCGUCAAAGCUUUAUUAUCAUAUAUCCCUAAUACUUUAAAAACUUCAUAACCCUUUAAUUCUAUUGAGUAAUUCUAUAACAUUAUAGAAAGUAUGAUGUUAAAACUAGUAACAAGAAGAAGACCUUCUCUUUAAUGCAAGUGUAAAUCAGAAAGGACCCCCCACUGAUAGUUAACCCCUAUGAAAUCACAUUAACAACCUCGCAAGAAAAACCUAAUGAACUCUGAGUUAAUCUAACACAAGAGCAUUUCAAGAAAGAUUAAAAGAAAAAGAAGGAACUCGGCAAACAUUAACCUCGCCUGUUUACCAAAAACAUCGCCUCUUGAAUCCCUAUAAGAGGUCCAGCCUGCCCAGUGACUCUGUUCAACGGCCGCGGUAUCCUAACCGUGCGAAGGUAGCGUAAUCACUUGUCUUUUAAAUGAGGACUUGUAUGAAUGGCAUCACGAGGGUUAUACUGUCUCCUUUCUCUAAUCAGUGAAACUAAUCUUCCCGUGAAGAAGCGGGAAUAAAUAUAUAAGACGAGAAGACCCUAUGGAGCUUUAAACUCAAUAACAAAUACUAACUUUACCUUAACUUCCAGAACAUUAACACUAAUCUUAGUAUUAUGAUUAUUAGUUUUAGGUUGGGGUGACCGCGGAGUAAAAAUUAACCUCCACAUUGAACAGGACCUUUCCUUGAGCUAAGAGCUACAACUCUAAACACCAACAAAUUGACAUUAAUUGACCCAAUAUUUUGAUCAACGAACCAAGUUACCCUAGGGAUAACAGCGCAAUCCACUUCAAGAGCUCCUAUCGACAAGUGGGUUUACGACCUCGAUGUUGGAUCAGGGUAUCCCAGUGGUGCAGCCGCUACUAAAGGUUCGUUUGUUCAACGAUUAAAACCC
rnacentral:rRNA from 1 species